rnacentral:rRNA from 1 species
AGGACGAACGCUGGCGGCGCGCCUAAUACAUGCAAGUCGAACGGGCACCUCCGGGUGCUAGUGGCGGACGGGUGAGUAACACGUGGGUGAUCUGCCUUUCGGUGGGGAAUAACUCUGGGAAACCAGAGCUAAUACCGCAUAUGCUCCAAAUUUCACUAUUUGGAGUAAAGAUCUAUUGCCGAGAGAGGAGCCUGCGCCGGAUUAGCUAGUCGGUGGGGUAACGGCUUACCGAGGCGACGAUCCGUAGCUGGUCUGAGAGGACGACCAGCCACACUGGGACUGAGACACGGCCCAGACUCCUACGGGAGGCAGCAGUAAGGAAUAUUCCACAAUGGGCGCAAGCCUGAUGGAGCGACGCCGCGUGAGCGAAGAAGCCCUUCGGGUGUAAAGCUCUUUUCACAGGGAUGAGCAAGGACAGUACCUGUGGAAUAAGCCCGGCUAACUACGUGCCAGCAGCCGC